UACGUAGGAUGCAAGCGUUGUCCGGAUUCACUGGGUGUAAAGGGAGCGCCGGCGGGUUUACAAGUCGGUGGUUAAAUCUCACAGCUUAACUGUGAAAUUGCCGUCGAUACUGUUUACCUUGAGUGUGGAAAAGGGUGAUAGAAUUCAUGGUGUAGCGGUGAAAUGCGUAGAUAUCAUGAAGAAUACCAGUCGCGAAGGCGGUCACCUGGUCCAUUACUGACGCUCAUGCUCGAAAGUGUGGGGAGCAAACAGG
rnacentral:rRNA from 1 species